CAGCCUCCCUCCCUUCCCAUCAGUGCUGGAUUCACGGGGCACCGAUAAACAAGAAGUCACAUGAUGCACAGGAGGAGCCAGCCAGAAGAGGAGCAGCGGUGCAGUCAGUGUAGCAGCCUGCAGCACCACAGGCACACAUAGGAGCAGAGGCCCAGCUAAGUCUCAGGGCAGAGGAGGGGCUCUUGCAGCCACUGAAGGAAGGAAAUCAUUAUUGCACGUUACAGAAGUAGGUCAUGUGCUACAGCUGCUGAUAGUUUAAGAGGAAGAAACAUGGGACCUCAGACGUGGAACAUGACUCCUUGAAAAUAUUUGAGAUCGACCCAAAAAAAACUUCCUCAGAGGCUUGUUUAAUAAGCAUUAUCUGUAAUAGUCUCAAUGUGUUCUUACGUUUCCUGAAGAGUUUGCACCUUCUUCCCACAGCUAACAAGCCCCUGUAAUGGAAGACAGAACAAUUUAAUGAAGGAGAUUUAAUAGUUUGUGUUAAAGCUAAAUGGUCCAUUAGGAGCUGUCAUUUUAAUAAACAAUGAAGAUACAUCAACGAA